rnacentral:lncRNA from 1 species
AGAAGCCAGGAGGAGUUAGGAACAGACUAUAAGAAAUGGUUGGUCUGGAGGAAAAAGGGUAAAACUUAUGAGCCAUUCACUGAUGUAUUGGUAAGAGGACAGGAGUCCUGGGGAAAGACUGCCUCAUUUACACUCCAAAGACUUGGGUUCUGAUCUCCAUGUCGUGGCUUAUCAUAGUGUAAGCCAGUUAUGUACCUCUAGAAAUGGAAGUUUCUGCUGUUUAUAAACUGGAAAUAAUGAUACAUGUCCUGACUCCUAUUGGGUUGUUGCAAAGGAAUCAAUUGAAAUAAGACAAGACUUUCUGAAGGCACUUUGCCAACUUUCAGAACUGUAAAGAUUAAGGGACUGCUACUAUGUGCUGCUCAGGAAAUAACAGGCACCUGGGAAAACCCACGAAGUAAGGUUUUGUAAGAAGUUGCUCUGCUCCCUGGGAGAAAACGCGGAGCUCAACACUGCCAAGAGGAACAAGUCUGGGAAAUUACGACAUGAGGGCCCUUGUGAAUUGAUGAAUAUGAAGACACUAAGAAAGCAGAAAUAGAACUGAGAAGAAUGAAAUAACUGUCUCUACCUUUCUCGAAUUGUCUAAUAUGGAAAGAAUGAAAGACAGCUAAUAAGCAACUCUCUGCAAGAAGACAUAUGGCUUAGGUUCUGCUGAGCUAUUGGUGAUUUGAUUCCAUGCAUAUGUAUUCACUACUGAAUCUACUUGGAGAGAGUCAAACACAGAAUCCCUUUGAAUUUAAUGGCCAUUCCAGGUGAUUUGAACAGCCAAAUAAGAAACAGGUCCUCUUCAAUGUACAAUCUGCCAAGUAUGAAGUCUGAAUGACCAUCAUUAUUAUGUAUUUAAUGUGCAUAGAAAAUCUAUCUGCAACCUUCCAGAGUGUACCAGAAGUUUGGAAUGUACAUUAUUAUUGGCUCCAUCUCAAACCACUCAUAAAUCAAAGAAAAUAGCAGUUCCAGAGGAAUCAUCAUAGAGGCUUCUAGGCCCCCAUGCUGUGUGAACCUGGUGAGAAAGGGAAGUCUGCUCUCACUGGACACUGGAACUGUUUGUCUCUGUCUCUGCUGUACUUUCCCUGCCUCUACCUCACUUAGUAAAGAAAUCAUCUUUGCUUGAUAACUAAAACAACCAAUAAGGCUGAGAAAGGGGAAAACCCACAUCUGGAUUUAAAUACAAGGUAUUGGGCCAGCUGCUGGGGAUUAAACUUUGAACAAAACAGAUAGAAUCUAUGUCCUCAUGGGAGUGGCUAAUGGGAGAGUCGGAACAAAAAAAUAGCCAAGGAUAAUCCAGCAAAUGAUUUGGUGAAUGCUAUCAAAGAGAGAAAUACACAUGCUCUGGGAACACCAAACAG